CCGGAAGUGUCCCAAUUUGUUCACGUACUGCGUGUCGCCAUUUUCAAAACAGUUGAGCUUUGUUGCGCACGGCAGAAUUGUUCAGCAGAGAAGUUUAAAUAAAGACUCGGAUUGAAUAAUUCAAGGUACAGCCCUUAGUGAUCGUCUGGGGUUUAUUCUACUGGGAGCGCUCCUGUAUCGCAGCGUGCUUCACUAAUAUUACAGGAACUAGUUACCUUCUCUGGAGCACAUUAGCAACCUUAGCUAGGCUACAGCUAGUUACAUUCCGGUAAACACUGUUUAAGAAGACUGAACGUUAGUUGCUGUUAAGACGUAGAGCAGUUGUUUGACGACACAGUGAAGACACCACGCGUUACCGUGUCCGGCAUCACGUGGUGCUUCCUACACUAGUUGAUGUUGUAAUAAAAACAUUAGCUUUUUACACAGUAGUCGGAUAAACUGCAGCUUUGUGUGAGUCUUUCUCGUGCUGCCGGCGCACAGAGUGAGUACGGUAUAAACGCAGUUUCAGUGAAAAGUACCAGUGAUAAGUUGUGAUAAUGCUGCAGGCCUGAUUGUGUGUUUGGACAUGAAACGAUUAGAGCUGUGGUUGGUGCAGUCGCCCUGAAACCAACAUGAUGGAGCUACCCAACUACAGCAGCCAGCUGAUGCAGCAGCUGUGGGCCUUGAGGAAGGAGGAGCACUUCUGCGACUGCACCAUCUUGGUGGGAGAGGGUCGUCAUCGCGCACAUAAACUGGUGCUGGCUGCCUCCAGCAUGCUUUUCAGGUCUCUCCUGGAUGGCUCCGACACCAUCUCCAUCGACACAGCUGUGGUUUCCUCGCAGGAGUUUGGCUGCCUCCUGGACAUGGUCUACACUGGUAAACUGCCUCCAGGUAAACACAACGUCAGUCGCAUAGUCGCCGCUGCAGACAGCCUGCAGAUGUAUGACGUGGCCGUUGGCUUUAAGCAAGUCCUCACCAGCCUGGUGAACCAGAAGCCCCCGGUAUCAGUGAGCUCCGCUGUGCCACACCUCACCGUGACCAACAAAGCCCCGAAUAUGAAGCCUGAAGGCUCAGCCUCGCCCAGCAAGCACAACCCGUCUUCAGACGAGGCGGAGGUGACGGACGAGCUGAAAAAAGAAUCGUUUGAGCAUGACAGCGAUGACGCAGACGGGCCGGCGAUUAAAAGGGCCCGCGUGGAGCUCCCUGACACAUCAGGGCCCGAAGACAUCAAAUCCUCAGAAGGUGGCGACACGUCGGCAGCCAGGCUGUCCAGCGAGUCUGGUCUCCUCGCCAACAUGUCGUCUGUUGUGGAACUGCUGAGCCAAGCAGCAGAGAGCCUGACAGAAAGAGAGCGACAGGUUGUGUGUCGGUGCUGUGAGGAGGCUGAUCCCAGCUCCGUGUCGGAGAAGCUGAUGAGUAAAGUGAAAGAGGGUCAGAUCGGAGAGGAGGGGCUUAUCAAGCUGCUGCGCACCGCCAAGCAGAAAGCUUCAUCGUCCUGUCCCACACAGCUGCUCCCUCUGCUGGAGGAGCUGGAGAGGAGCGUACAGCAGCCCGAUGGCAGCCACACUGGAGCUGACUCAGAGCAGGAGAACAGGAGUGAAGAUCGUGUCCAGGAAGAAGAUGAAAACGGUGACGAGGCGGAGAACAAGGAGGAGGAGGAAGAUGCAGCUGUAGCAACCGAGUGUUCCCCUCCCUGCUCCUCUCCUGCUUCCUGUCACGCCAAACCUUACUGCUGUCACUGGUGUAAGAAGAGUUUUGAUUACAAGUGUCGAAUGCUAGCACACAUGAAGCGCUGCUCCAUGUCCCAGGAGUGUGAGCAGCAGUGUCCCGAGUGUCCUGAGAAGCUGUCUAAGCGGGCCCUGCAGCGCCACCGGGCCGAGGCUCACCGCAGCGCCACGCGGGUCAAGAAGAAGACGGCCUGUGACCUCUGCGGCCGCACCUUCGCCCACCCGUCGGGUAUGAUUUACCACAAGCGCACUGAGCACUUUGAAGAGAAGCCGUUUGCGUGUGAUGAAUGCGGUGCGAAGUUUGGUGCAAACUCAUCUCUGAAGAAUCACAUGAGGCUGCACACAGGGGAGAAACCCUACCACUGCAAGCACUGUGACAUGAGCUUCAGCGUGGCUGCUGCACUUGCAUACCACACCAAAAAGAGACACUCUGAGGGGAAGAUGUAUGUGUGCCAGUACUGCAAGGCUGUCUUCGCCCAGUCCAUAGAGCUGACGCGUCACGUGCGGACGCACACGGGAGACCGGCCCUACGUAUGCCGAGAGUGUGGCAAAGGCUACAGCCAGGCCAGCGGGCUCACUGUGCACCUGCACACCUUCCACCACCUGUCGGAGCCCCACGACUGUCAGAAGUGCUGUCUCAGCUUCUCGUCGCUGGACGAGCAUCGGCAGCACAUCCAGGAGUUUCACCCCAAGGAGUUCCACAAGUGUCCCACCUGCAGUAAGCUGUUUACCAGCGCCGCCCUCCUGGACAAACACAAGCCUACGCACACUGGGACAAAACCCUUCAGCUGUGAUCUCUGCAACAAGUCAUACCAGCAACUGUCAGGACUGUGGUACCACAACAGGACUAACCACCCUGAUGUGUUUGCCAACCACACCCGGCAGCUCAAGAACCUGGUCCAGUGCGAUGUCUGCUUCAAGUUCUUCCCUAGUUCUGUCAGUCUGGCCAAACACCAGGCUGCUGAGCACCAAGGCUCUGUGGCUGUGCUGGGUGGAGAUGAGGACAUGCAGGAGAACAUCUGCACGCAGCAUAUCAGCAGCGAGGCAUUCAGGUGCUCCCUCUGCUCCACGCUCUGCUCCUCUCAGCUUAAGCUGCAGGAGCACCUGCUCUCCUGCCAUGUGGAGACACAGCAGGAGCAGGAGAGCCGGGAGGAAGAGCAGGCCUCCACCUCCAACACGGUAACAAGCACAUCACACAGACGUACAGAUGAAGAUGAAAUAAUAAUGUCCCGUUCCUGACUGACAGCAUGUGGAGUGAAGUGUGUCCUGUAUUUGUCGAACUUUGAGGCUCAUCAGGAUGAUGGUGGAGUACAGUUUGUUCAGCUCAGGUGCAUCCUGGGAGAAUUUGCAGCAUUUACUUUUCAAACCAAGCUGAAUCAGCGUAUCUGACCAACCACAUCGCUGCAUUUGGCUCAAGUGAGAUAGUCAAAUAAUGCUGUUUUACCUCAGACACACAGCGGGGCGCCGCUCUGGGCCAUGAUGUCACUGCCGCCUCAGUGUGGUCCCAACACGACAUCCUGAAAUACGUGAGCAGCCGUGAUCCAGCUGAAACUCCUCCCUGCAUGCAACAGGACUCUGUUGCUCUUCCUGUGUACAAACAUGCUGACUCGAUGUUUCUGCAGCAAUGAGUCGACUGGUUGAUCCAUGUGCGCUGAGGUGAUACCAGCCAAUCCAACAGGGAGCAGACAGGAAGGGGCGGAGUCUGAGGAGCCAAGGCAGCAGGGGGUUGGUCAGCAGGUGUUUCUAGCUCUGGCAGAUGGGCGA